rnacentral:rRNA from 1 species
GUACGCUGGCGGCACGCCUAACACAUGCAAGUCGAACGAAGUAGCAAUACUUAGUGGCAGACGGGUGAGUAACAUGUAGGUAUCUGCCCUUUGGCCUGGAAUAACACGAGGAAACUUGUGCUAAUACCGGAUAAGUCUUUACGGAGAAAGCUUUAUGCACCAUUGGAUGAGCCUGCACUUGAUUAGUUUGUUGGUGGGGUAAUGGCCUACCAAGACUGUGAUCAAUAGCUGAUUUGAGAGGAUGAUCAGCCACAUUGGGACUGAGACACGGCCCAAACUCCUACGGGAGGCAGCAGUGGGGAAUCUUGCACAAUGGAGGAAACUCUGAUGCAGCGAUGCCGCGUGAGUGAAGAAGGCCCUUGGGUUGUAAAGCUCUUUCGUCGGGGAAGAAAAUGACUGUACCCGAAUAAGAAGGUCCGG